UCUUCCAAUUCGCUUGAGGAGUCGCUGUCAUUUUCACUAACGUGUAUAAUCAAAUUAUUGUCAAUCAUAGUAUUUAUACGGAUAUCGCGGUCAAAGUCAUCAAAUAUAAUCUUUUUAGUUUUUCAGAUCAUCUUCAUCCAGUCAUCUCUUGUGACUUUUCACAUGCUUCGUUUAAAAGCAUGUUCAUCUUUUUUAUGCCAUACUGUGGAGAAGUAUUAUGACGGGCUGCAUAACCUUUAAUUUCAGCCCAAAUUAGCUCAAUGUCAUUGUACUGGCCAUGUAGCAUAGAGGUACUGGCACGGAGGAAUUUGGAGAAAGCUAUUUUGGGUUGCCAUUUUUUACCAGAAAUAUAAAGUAGUUGUCAUUAUGGCCUGCAUGCAUCCUGACGCAGCAGAAAAAUAUUUCCAGGUGAUCCUGGCAAGUAUGGAGUUCACUUAAUGUGGUGUCUGAAUAGCCAUAUUCAUUGGAAGUAGAGAUGCGCCGAGUACUCGGCCGAAUAACUCGGUUCCAGUGACCGAGUGGUUGAUUUAAAAUACUUAAGAGUCAAAAUUUAAAUAAAACAACAUUUUAAAAGUCA